UAGGGGAUAUUGGUGAAUGGGCGAAAGCCUGAACCAGCAACGCCGCGUGUGCGAUGAAGGCCUUCGGGUUGUAAAGCACUUUUUGCCGGGAAGAGGAAGGACGGUACCGGUAGAAUAAGCCUCGGCUAACUACGUGCCAGCAGCCGCGGUAAAACGUAGGAGGCGAGCGUUAUCCGGAUUUACUGGGUGUAAAGCGCGUGCAGGCGGUUUGGUAAGUUGGGUGUGAAAGCUCCUGGCUCAACUGGGAGAGGUCGCUCAAGACUGCCAGACUGGAGCGUGGUAGGGGAAGGCGGAAUUCCGGGUGUAGUGGUGAAAUGCGUAGAUAUCCGGAGGAACACCAGUGGCGAAAGCGGCCUUCUGGACCAUGACUGACGCUCAGACGCGAAAGCUAGGGGAGCAAACG
rnacentral:rRNA from 1 species